CUGAACUCUGCCAGUUACUGAUACUGACGCUGAACUCUGCCAGUUACUGAUACUGACGCUGAACUCUGCCAGUUACUGAUACUGACGCUGCACUACCUAACCUGCCCUUUACAGACCCAUUAGCUCAACAUAAUACUUAAUAAAUCUCUCCCUAUAAGCCGUUACUCAUAGUGUUUUCCUGUGGGAUAAUUUAGUAAGGGGUCUCUUUCAUUCUAUGUUUGCAUGAGAUUUUGUGAAUCUUUUCACUUCUGUGGUUCUUUACCAUCUGGCAGAUUCGUGCACAAACGUCUUAUAUUGCAAGAAGUUAUCCCACAAGCCUCCCCUUCUAAUCCUGCAGCCAAACUUACAGAUAAUGAAAGCUCAACAUGCAGUGAAACUUCCAAGGCCGGAAAUUGUAUCAACUUAGUGGCUCCUGGCGUUCAGCAGAUCAGUUUAAAACCAAUGGCAAACAGGAAACAUGCCAUGAAUUACCCAUGUCUCACCAUCUUGCCAGUAUUCCAGGAAGCGUGGAAGCCCUUCAGAUGCUCACACAGAGACCUGACCGUUGGGGCUCAUUCAGCUAGGAGCCUGUGAAUUAAAACAAGGGUGGGUUCCGGAAGGGACUGUAAGGAAACAGAGGGAGUCCAAGCCAAAGGGAUUAAACUAGGAUAUUUACUAUGAGCCAAGGUCUUAUAUCAGACCUCCCAUAUAUAAAUGUGUAGAUGAUAGGUCACUGCGAGCACAAAAAAAAUAAACAAAUUACCUAUCCUAUGCAUGUUAGACGUGUAGUUUGUAUCUGUAUACACGUACAUCCUGGUCUCCGUUAUGGCUAUAGUUUGUAUCUGUAUACACGUACAUCCUGCUCUCCGUUACGGCUAUAGUUUGUAUCUGUAUACACGUACAUCCUGCUCUCCGUUAUGGCUAUAGUUUGUAUCUGUAUACACGUACAUCCUGCUCUCCGUUACGGCUAUAGUUUGUAUCUGUAUACACGUACAUCCUGCUCUCCAUUAUGGCUAUAGUUUGUAUCUGUAUAUACGUACAUCCGGCUCUCCGUUAUGGCUAUAGUUUGUAUCUGUAUAUACGUACAUCCUGCUCUCUGUUAUAGCUAUAGUUUGUAUCUGUAUACACGUACAUCCUGCUCUCCGUUACGGCUAUAGUUUGUAUCUGUAUACACGUACAUCCGGCUCUCUG